AUUGAACGCUGGCGGCAUGCUUUACACAUGCAAGUCGAGCGGCAGCGCGGGGGCAACCCUGGCGGCGAGCGGCGAACGGGUGAGUAAUGCAUCGGAACGUAUCCUCGAGUGGGGGAUAACCCAGCGAAAGUUGGGCUAAUACCGCAUGAGCUCUGAGGAGGAAAGCGGGGGACCUGCGAGGGCCUCGCGCUGGAGGAGCGGCCGAUGUCCGAUUAGCUAGUUGGUGGGGUAAAGGCUUACCAAGGCGACGAUCGGUAGCUGGUCUGAGAGGAUGAUCAGCCACACUAGGACUGAGACACGGCCCAGACUCCUACGGGAGGCAGCAGUGGGGAAUUUUGGACAAUGGGCGCAACCCUGAUCCAGCCAUGCCGCGUGAGUGAAGAAGGCCUUCGGGUUGUAAAGCUCUUUCGGACGGAACGAAAUGGGCGGGACUAAUACCCCUGUCUGAUGACGGUACCGUAAGAAGAAGCACCGGCUAACUACGUG
rnacentral:rRNA from 1 species